rnacentral:lncRNA from 1 species
AAACUGCGCAAGGUUGAGGAAUUUCUGGCAUUGUUCAAAGAGCGAUGCCGUAUGUUAUACCAACCGUACCAGAAUAUUGCUGUGGAUGAACGCAUGGUUAAAUCUAAACAUAGGUCAGGGAUUAGGCAAUACAUGAAAAAUAAGCCUACAAAAUGGGGGAUAAAGCUCUGGGUAUUGGCAGAUAGUUCAAAUGGGUAUACAAUUGAUUUCAAUGUUUACAUAGGUAAGUCCCAGCAUGAAGCACCGUCGCAGAAUGGCCUUGGUUAUGAUGUGGUGAUGAAGUUGGUGAAUCCAUAUUUGGGACAAGGG